CAGUCGCCACGGGAAUACGAAGGGUGCAAGCGUUACUCGGAAUUACUGGGCGUAAAGCGUGCGUAGGUGGUGGUUUAAGUCCGUUGUGAAAGCCCUGGGCUCAACCUGGGAAUUGCAGUGGAUACUGGGUCACUAGAGUGUGGUAGAGGAUAGUGGAAUUUCCGGUGUAGCAGUGAAAUGCGUAGAGAUCGGAAGGAACAUCUGUGGCGAAGGCGACUAUCUGGGCCAACACUGACACUGAGGCACGAAAGCGUGGGGAGCAAACAGGAUUAGAUACCCCCGUAGUCCCUGUCUCUUAUAC
rnacentral:rRNA from 1 species